rnacentral:lncRNA from 1 species
CAACUUUUCCCUAGACAGGGACUUACAUUCAGCUUUUAUAUAUUGCUUUCUGAUGUAGGAAUAAGAAGACAUUGUGGGCAACGUGAUUGUUUCUUUCCCAGAACACGUCUGCUCCCAAAGGGGAGCAAAGAUAGAAGGUCAGAAGAAAGAGCAGGAGGCAAUGGAAGGUACUUUUCUUCUCUUCCUGAAGAGAAAUAUCUAGAAGAAGUGAUUGGCCACCUUUGCAAAUGUGCCUUGGACCAGCCAUGGGUGUCUGAGAUGUAUCCUACUCAAUAAGGUAACAGCAGUGACAUUAUUGGUAGUUUUAAUAUUAAUAGUAAUAAAAAUGUCAUCUACUCUGA